UACGUAGGGGGCAAGCGUUGUCCGGAAUCAUUGGGCGUAAAGCGCGCGUAGGCGGCCCGGUAAGUCCGCUGUGAAAGUCGGGGGCUCAACCCUCGGAUGCCGGUGGAUACUGUCGGGCUUGAGUACGGAAGAGGCGAGUGGAAUUCCUGGUGUAGCGGUGAAAUGCGCAGAUAUCAGGAGGAACACCAAUUGCGAAGGCAGCUCGCUGGGACGUUACUGACGCUGAGACGCGAAAGCGUGGGGAGCAAACAGG
rnacentral:rRNA from 1 species